UGCAACUGCACUCUUCUGGUCCACGUUUGUUAUGGCUUGAGCUGAGCUUUUGCUCGCCAUCCACCACUGCUGUUUGCCUCCGUCGCAGACCUACCACUGACUCCCAUCCCUCCGGAUCCGGCAGGGUGUCUGCUGUGCUCCUGAUCCAGUGAGGCGCCCAUUGCCACUCCCGAUCGGGCUAAAGGCUUGCCAUUGUUCCUGCACGGCUAAGUGCCCGGGUUCGUCCUAAUUGAGCUGAACACUAGUCACUGUGUUCCAAGGUUCUCUUCCGUGACCCAUAACUUCUAAUAGAGCUAUAACACUCACCACAUGGCCCAAGAUUCCAUUCCUUGGAAUCCUGUGAGGCCAAGAACCUCAGGUCAGAGAAUAUGAGGCUUGCCACCAUCUUGGAAGUGACCCGCCGCCGUUUUGGAAGUAGCCUACCACCAUCUUGGGAGCUCUGGGAGCAAGGACCCCUGGUAACAUUUUGGAGACCACGAAGGGACAUCCAAAGUGAGAAGAUCCAAACCAUAACAAACAAGCAAGAAAGAAAACAAGCAAGAAAGAAAACAAGCAAGCAGAAGUCAGAAACUCAAAAAGCCAAAAGGAUUCUACUUGCACACCAGCUAAUCAAAAUGAACAGUUUAAGACUGUGUGUGCCAAAAUGAUGCAUAUGGGUGAUCACUUGCUGUAUUACAGGCUCGAAAAUGGCAGAAGGAGACAACAUGUUUUAUGCAUUCCAAAGAAGCCUGCCAGUAAGCCACCAAAAAUUAAAGUUGCAUACGUUCUUCAAGAGUAAAACAGGAAGAAAAUAGAACCUGCAUUAUGCUCCUCAAACCACCUAUUCCACUGCUACCAUAAUCACGAGGUGUUUAGCCAGGAACCUCCACAUCCAGGGACAUCCCUGCCCAGAGCCUCACUCAGCCCUGACCCUGCUGCAGAGGUGCCUCAUCCACUCAGCCCACUGGACCACACCUGGCUUGCACACCGGCUCAGAUCCCCCACAUGCCACAGUAGGGCCUGGCGUGCCCCAGUCCAUCUGUGUUACAGCUCAUAUCUGUGUUCAGUGGUUACCAAGUUUUUGUCCCACAUCCAAGAAUGAGGUUACACUGACCUGAUGAUCGAAGGAUGAG
rnacentral:lncRNA from 1 species